rnacentral:rRNA from 1 species
GACGAACGCUGGCGGCGUGCUUAACACAUGCAAGUCGAACGGAAAGGCCCUGCUUGCAGGGUACUCGAGUGGCGAACGGGUGAGUAACACGUGGGUGAUCUGCCCUGCACUUCGGGAUAAGCCUGGGAAACUGGGUCUAAUACCGGAUAGGAGCCAUUUUUAGUGUGAUGGUUGGAAAGUUUUUUCGGUGUAGGAUGAGCUCGCGGCCUAUCAGCUUGUUGGUGGGGUAAUGGCCUACCAAGGCGGCGACGGGUAGCCGGCCUGAGAGGGUGGACGGCCACAUUGGGACUGAGAUACGGCCCAGACUCCUACGGGAGGCAGCAGUGGGGAAUAUUGCACAAUGGGCGCAAGCCUGAUGCAGCGACGCCGCGUGGGGGAUGACGGCCCUCGGGUUGUAAACUCCUUUCGCUAGGGACGAAGCUUUUUGUGACGGUACCUAGAUAAGAAGCACCGGCUAACUACGU